rnacentral:sRNA from 1 species
GUCAGCACCCCGCACUGAAGUGACGGGGCUUCAUGCCUCUAACUUUAGUUAGUUGACCAGCCUAAGUCUUAACUGACUAUGUUUUUUGAGUCAAGACACCCUGCUGGAUGCGUAGCUAGUCCCUGGCUCUGUC